rnacentral:antisense_RNA from 1 species
CUUGAUCGAGCCGAGCAGCAGCGCCUCGUGCCCCUCCCGGUCCUGCCCGUAGGUGGCGAGCAGCGCCUGCGCCUC